UUCCUGAUAAGGUCAGCUCUAUUCUUUAAGAUUAUUAAGUACUAUCCCAAGUGUUUCCUUAUUUGUGGAUAAAUUGUACUGAAUAGAUUCUACCCAAUGUUGGCAUGAAGCUGGAUUAUGGAGCCUGGAAACCUCUCCAUUGAAGAGUCCAUAAGGAUCCCAUAAGAGUGGUUGAGACUUGGACUGACCAAGAGAAGGGUAGUGUCCUAAGAAAAAGUGUGCAGGUGGAAAUUCUACAAAUGUUCUACAAAUAUUAGGUAGGGAGGAGACAGUCUGUCAUGGGGAACUGUUAAUAUGAAGAACAUAUUGUUAAUAUGAAGAAUUUAAAGACUACUAAAAAAUGUGAGUUCAGAGAGUUCCCCAGAUUUCCUGAUUUGGGAAAGAACAGGAUUCCUAACCUCUGAUUUUCUGAGUAGAUUUGCCUUAAUAGAAGACAACUGAUUUCUCAUGUUUGCUUCUGGAUUCAAUCUAUUGAGAUUUAAGAAGUCAUGAGGCUCUUGGAAAACUUCACUGUAUCCACAUGAGAGACUGAGAGUG